rnacentral:rRNA from 1 species
CCCCGGAUUAAAUCGGGGGUGACUCCUGCCCUAUGGUAUAUUAAUUAUUUUUGAAAGAAAAUUAAAACCUGUACUAAAUGGCCGCGGUAACUCUGACCGUGAUAAUGUAGCGAAAUCAAUCGUCAUUUAAUUGAUGACCAGUAUGAAUGGAUAAACGAAUUUUCCACUGUCUCGAGUAUAAAACUGAUGAAAUUGUAAUUAUAGUGAAGAUACUAUGAAAUAAUUGCUAGACGAAAAGACCCUAUAGAGCUUAACUAGAGUCAUAUUAAAUUUAUUUUUGACUCAAAAUUUUAAUUAGUAUGAAAGCUAGUUUGGUUGGGGCGACCAUCUUUUAAAAAGAACGAAGACAAACAAAGAUUUUUUAUCAUAAUUAAUUUAAUUGUUUAAUCCAUAAAUUUAACAAAUACUAAAGUAGGUGAAAAUGACCCGCUGACUUUAUCAAAUAAAUUCAACGAUCAAUAAAUAAAAGCUACCUUAGGGAUAACAGCGUUAUCUUGUUUAAGAGUUCUUAUCGACAACAAGGUUUGCGACCUCGAUGUUGAAUUGUGAUAACCUGGGGGUGUAGCAGCUCCCAAAGGUUGGUCUGUUCGACCAUUAAAAU